CCCAAGAACAAGAAACCCUAGGGUUUCUUGCCGCCAGGUCCAUAAAAGGAAAGAAAAGCAAGGAGGCGCUAGCCCCUUCCCCCUUGCAGCCGCUGACUCUCUCUCUUCUCCCUCUCUUGAAGUCACCCAAACUCUAGGUCCAGGACCUAGGAUCUCUUGUAAAGAGGUUGAUACAAGUCUCUCUCAGAUCUGGAGUUGAUCUGAGGUCGUUUGAGGUAUGGGUG
rnacentral:lncRNA from 1 species